UACAAGUCCUGUACUGGAUAAACUGCACCAA
rnacentral:piRNA from 1 species